rnacentral:rRNA from 1 species
AUGGCCAGAACGGCGGCACCCUUGUUCCCCUUCUUCUUCCUCCUCCUGUCAUCGACAUCGCCGGCGGCGGCCCAGAAGAAUCGCCUUGGCCGGACUCCCCAGAUGGGGUGGAAUAGCUGGAACCACUUCGGCUGCAAGAUAGACGAGGUGAUAAUCCGAAAAAUAGCUGAUGCCAUGGUGGAUACUGGUCUUGCGAAACUGGGGUAUGAGCAUGUCAACUUAGACGACUGUUGGGCAGCUCAUGACAGAGACUCCCAGGGCAAUCUAGCUGCAAAUGGAACAACAUUUCCAUCAGGAAUGAGGGCCUUAGCAGAUUAUGUGCACGGGAAAGGGCUCAAACUCGGAGUCUACGGCGAUGCAGGACUGCGAACUUGCAGCAGGAUACAGCCCGGUUCGCUAGGAUACGAAGACCAAGAUGCGAGAACUUUGGCAGCUUGGGGGAUUGACUACUUGAAGUAUGACAACUGCAACAACCAAAACAUCAGCCCACUAACAAGAUAUAACAGGAUGAGUGAAGCCCUUAUGAAUUCUGGAAGGGACGUUUUCUUCUCCCUUUGCGAAUGGGGUGUGGAUGAUCCAGCGACAUGGGCAGGCAGCUUUGCAAACAGCUGGAGGACAACAGAAGACAUCAAGAACACAUGGGAAAGCAUGACGGACAACGCUGACAAGAACGACAAGUGGGCACCUUAUGCAGGGCCUGGUGGAUGGAAUGACCCAGACAUGCUGGAAGUAGGAAACGGGGGGAUGACAAUAGAAGAGAACCGUUGUCAUUUCAGCAUAUGGGCUCUAGUCAAGGCUCCUCUGAUAAUUGGCUGCGAUGUCAGCUCAAUGAGCCCUGAAACCAAGGACAUCCUCAGCAAUCAGAAUGUUAUUGCAGUUAAUCAAGACAAACUUGGGGUACAAGGGCGCAAAGUGCAACAAGAUGGAGAACUAGAAGUUUGGGCUGGUCGCUUAAGUCGAGGGAGAGUUGCUCUUGUGCUGUGGAACAGAGGGCCUGCUGAAGCAUCUAUUACUGCUAGUUGGAGCAACAUUGGUCUAAACCAAUCAGCUGUUGUAGAUGCUCAUGAUCUGUGGACAGAUGAGGUUACAUCAUCAGUGCAAGGAAACCUGACGAACAAGAUGGAUUCUCAUGCUUGCAAGAUGUAUGUGCUGACCCCAAAAUAG